UCAUUUUCCAUUCAUUUAUACUCAACCAUUACAAAAUGAUGCAUGCUUACAAUUUUAAUCUAUACAUUCCAAGGUUAUACAACCAUUUUUCAGUAAUCACAAAAGUCUCAAGUUACAAAUUAACUUCAAUACCAAAACAUUUUCAACAACCCAAAUGAUUCAUUUGUUGGAGAAUUGUCAUCCAAGGCGCAGCGGAAUUUAAAAAUUUCUCCAUUUAGUGAUCCUUACGAAUGGGUAUGAUCAGUGAUAGAAUCGUUACCUCUUGUGGCGAUUCAAACCUUUGAUGCAGAUUUCUGAUAAUGAUCAAACCUUUGAUACAGAU
rnacentral:lncRNA from 1 species